ensembl:lncRNA
GUUAGGCUUCAAUCUAUAUAACUCAUUUGGAAACUGCCACUCUGGAUCAGAAGCCUAUCAGGAAGAGCUUUUGUAUGGAAACAGAUGUCUUUCACCACUGUUAUUGGCCGCUUGUUAAUAGACCCUGUGUGUAUCAGUUCAGCAAAGGAAUGCAUCCUUUUUGUUCUCUGGUAACCACACCAUGACUGAGCAAGAAAUGGCAAUGCUGUGACUAGACAGGAGAUGCACAUGUGCUGACUGGCCAGUUAUCUUCUGCUAAAUGCAAGGUUUUGCAUUUUCUCGGACUUCAGCUGCAAAUAUCUGAAAUGUUUAAAAGAAGGCUGUUAUUCAACAUGUUCCUGCUCGUGGGCUUGAUGCAUGUUUUGCUGGCCGCUGACUGUGAAGGUGUGUAAGUGCUUUACUGGAUCAGCGCCAGCACCUUACAAGCCUGACCUCGGAGAGCUGGGAUCCCCUGCCCUGCCUCCUGAUGUGACGAUGACCUUGCUUACAUCAGAGUCGCGUGGUUGCAUGAAGGAGCGGUUCUUCAGAAACAGACAGCAUUCAGCAUCCUGCAGCUGGGGGCACAGAACAGCUGUUCUGUUCUGGAGUGAGAUGGGACAUCUAAAGAGCAGGCCUAACUCAUUCAGGGUGAGAAGAAAUUCCUAG